AUCCAGCUGACGAGUGCAUAAUAGGACGAAACACGCGUCCUGGAU
rfam:Schistosoma mansoni strain Puerto Rico chromosome 2, complete genome